rnacentral:rRNA from 1 species
UACGUAGGGUGCGAGCGUUGUCCGGAAUUACUGGGCGUAAAGGGCGCGCAGGCGGCUCAUUUUGUCAGGCGUGAAAGCCCCGGGCUUAACCUGGGAACUGCGUUUGAUACGGGUGGGCUAGAGUUCGGGAGAGGAGCGUGGAAUUCCCAGUGUAGAGGUGAAAUUCGUAGAUAUUGGUAAGAACACCGGUGGCGAAGGCGGGUCAUCGGC